rnacentral:rRNA from 1 species
UCGAGAAUCUUCGUCAAUGCACGAAAGUGCGAACGAGCGACGCCGCGUGAGCGAUGAAGCCCUUCGGGGUGUAAAGCUCUUUUGUUAGGGAAAAAUUUUGAUGUUACCUAGCGAAUAAGAGGUUGCUAACUCUGUGCCAGCAGCAGCGGUAAUACAGAGACCUCAAGCGUUAUCCGGAUUUAUUGGGCGUAAAGAGUCUGUAGGCGGAUUGAAUAGUCGGAUGCCAAAUCUCAGGGCUCAACCUUGAAACUGCAUCUGAAACGUUCAUUCUAGAGGACGGUAGAGGCAAGUGGAACAUAUGGUGUAGCAGUAAAAUGCGUUGAUAUCAUAUGGAAUACCAAAGGCGAAGGCAUCUUGCUGGGCCGUUCCUGACGCUGAGAGACGAAAGCGUGGGUAGCGA